AAUAGGGCUCUACGCCCGGCUGCUCUGCAGCUGGCUCGGGCCCUAAUAAAAAUAAUUAGUAUUAUGAUCAUCAUUAUUAUUAGGGCCCUAGCCAGCUGCAGAGCAGCCGGCAUAGAGCCCUAUU